AGGCUCUCCAUGAGAGGCUCUGCCCCAAGAUGGGGCUUGGACCCAUGAAACCGUGAGAUCAUGAUUUGAGCCUAAACCAAGACGCAGAUGCUUAGCUAACUGAGCCACCCACAUGCCCUAAAACCCCUUGUUUGCUUUUUAAAGCUUUUUAUAGACUGGCCUACCUUCCCGACUUUUUCUUCAUUUGCCUGAAUCUGUGGCUUACUGAGAUUGGUUACUGUAUGGGUUUUGCCUGCUAGGCCUAGGACCUUUCUAGCUUGGCACCUUUUAAAAAUACUGUAUUCCUGGGGCGGCUGGCUGGGUGGUUCAGUCAGUUGAGAGUCCCACACUAGAUUUCGGUUCACUUGAUUCCAAGGUUCUGGGCCCAAGCCCUGCAUCAGCAAGCCUGCUUAGGAUUCUCUCUUUCUCUCCCUCUGCCCCUCCCCCAUUCACUUGUUUUCUCUCUCUCUCUCUCUCUCUCUCUCUCUCUCUCUCUCUCUCUCUCAAAUUAAAAAAAAAAAAAAAAUGUUGUAUUCCUAAACUUGGGUAGUUCUUCUCUCUUCUCUACCUUUGCAGAUCCUUUGUUUCUCAAAACAGUACCCCCCACAAUGAUUUCUCCUUAAACUGGCAGUAACCAUCUUUUUCUCUGUCUACACUUGACCGGUGAAUAACCCACAGGCACAGAGGCACUGGGGGAUGGAAUGGAAGUUUAACACCUUUUCCUCUUAUGGGAGCAAUCUCCUAUAAGUUUCUAACUUCAGAAAUAUUGAGGACUAAAGCCAGUGAAGGAAUGUGUUCUGUGUCAUAGAGAUGAAACUAUAUAGAGUUAACAAGGAAUUCAUGGCUUAAAUCAAUGGGUACCAAACUUAGCUUUGUAAUAAAGCCAUCUGGAAGCCUUUAAACAAACAGACCUAGGUCCUUCCCUGAACAUCCUGCAGCUUUGGAUUUAGAAUGGAAUGCUAGAAUCGCUAGGCAUCCUCUGUACGUAUUGUGAUAAACAAAGGAAGAUAAUUGUGUUCUUAUUUUGCUUCAAUGUUCUACAGCUUUUGAUACCAUUGACCAUCAUCCAUUUCUUUGACACCCUCUUUCGUUCUAUCAUUUCUUCCCAGUCUUUCUCCUUUGUUUCUUCAUUAAAUGUUACCCCUUAAAAGACCUUCUGUUGGAAACCAACUUGACAAUAAAUCUCAUAUAUUAAAAAAAAAAAAAAAGACCUUCUGUGUUUCUCAUUAUAUAUACAAUUGCCUGGACCUAAUUAAUUCUGUCUUAUAUACCAAUCAUGUCCAGCUAUCUUCAGUCUAGAACUUUCUACUGGGCCCCCAAAACAUAUAUACCUAAUAGUUUUCAAUAUUUGGAUCACCCAUGGAUCAGAAAAAUUCAAGGCAGAUCGUGCCCUAAACUGGGUUUCUUAUUUCCACCAUUGUCCCUGUCACUUUCCCUACAACUCCUGCUUCCUAUUUUCUCCAUCACGGUAACUGAUACCACCACCCACCCAGUCCCCAAAGCCAGAAUGUGGACAUAAUCUUGCUUCUCAGUCAUCUUCCCACACUGGUCUGCACUACCUCCAGCUUAUUCUAUCCAUUUGAUAUCACUAGGAUCUCUUCCUCCCUUGCUGACUCUUCUGUGGACAACUGAUGAUGUUUCGAUUGUAGGAAAUGUGAACCAGACUUAUUGGCUGGCUUGCUUGGGAUAUCCAGCUUCCCCUCCCCACCCCCAGCCCCAUUACUCUCCCACCUUAAAUGCAUGUUUUAGUUCAAAUGUCUCCUCUAAGAAAUGUUCCCUGUCUAGUUAAGGUGUAGUGUACCCCCACCUCUGUCAUAGCAUUUAACUACAUAGCAUUCUACAGAUGUGGACUACUUGGGGCUUUUGGCACUGUGUCUUUAAUAUUGUGUCCUAAAAACAGCAUAGGAUCUAGUAUGUAACAUACUUCUAAGUGUUAAUUGGAUGGAUGCAUGAAUAAAUUAGCCUAUAGUCUCAUAGAUAAAAAUAUUUAAAUACCUUAUUCCUUAAAACUAAAAUAAUGCAUAGACUUUAUAUAAUAUUUAGAAAACUACAAAAAAGCAAAAAGGAAGAAAAAGCUUGUAAUUUGUUACACCAAGCCAACUACAAUUUAUUUUUAUUUUUGUAGACUUUUGACCUUUUUUCUGUAUAUGAAUUAAUAUAAUGAUAGUAUGUGUGUAUCUAUAUGUAUAUGAUAAUUGGAUGUGUAUGUGUGUGUAAAUGGUAUUAUGUAAACUGCUUUUACUUACAUGUAUCUUUCUUUGCCACUAAAUAUGGAGUGUGCAUUUAGUAAGCAUGCAUUACUUUUCCAAUAAGAGGUAAAAUCAUAAAAAUGAGAAUUGAUUCUCCUCUUAAACUAGAUUUACAACAGAAAGAUUUCCAAAUCCUAAGGACCCUCAUGAAGACUAAGCAAAAUCCUCUCAAGAGCAUUUUCCUUGGAGAAAAAAGGAUGAAUUAAAGGAAUCAAACACUAACCUAGUUUUCUAGUAUGAAAUCUUUAACCAUAGUUAGUGCUGAAUUUUCUGACCAAAAGUCCUCUUGCUUUUAACAGGUUCAAGGUUAAAUUGAAAUCUUUGAUGACUGUCGGUGCCAGUAAGAUUAUGAUGUUAAAUAAUCUCACUAGAGCAGCUUAGGCCCUACUUAGCCCAAACAGGUAUAUUUCAGAAUACAAGCCCUAUAAUUUUCAGGUAUAACAUGCAAUUGUAUCAUCCUAUAUUCUUGUUGUGAUGUUUAAAGAUAAAAGUGUUAUUACUAAAAAAAAAAGUCUCUAAAGCUAUCCCUAAAGAAAUUAUCUUUCUCUCUUUGUAUUUAACACAAGUUUAAGUUCUGGAAAACUGCUAAACAAAUGUAAGUUAUAGAAUCAUUAGUCACUUAUGUCAAUGUUCUUUUCUUUUAAUGCCUUCAAAUGUUUUGAAGUGAUGUUGCUUCCUCCCAUUCUUUUCCUGGUCACUUUACCUUUUGCUUUUAUUAACUUAAAGUUCUAAAAUUCAUCAUCACCUUCUAGAAGCACUAUUAGUCAGCCACCCUUCAGUAAUUUCAGUAACCAGCUUUGGCAAAAGCGUCAAGUUAAUCAGUGACUGUAUGGCCAGACCUAAGUUCAUGGAAACAUAACCCCCUUUGUAGGAGCUCUUCGCUGGGGUGGCUGUGUUUUCUGACGCAGGAGUGAACACCAGCACUUUGGAGUGUAGAUCGUGGACUGUUUCCGCUGCAGAAUAGUUCAUGCCAAUGGGUGCUGCACACACUGUUUGGGAAUGACAAUUUUAUCUGCUAAAUGGGGAUUUGUAACUUGAAUAUGAUGGCUUCUUUGGAGUGAAUCCCUAAAGGAGCAUUGUGGUGAUGAUAAGGAUCUUUGAAGUUUAUGAAGAAAUGUAACCAAGCUCCAAUUUGUAACUAGACAGAAAACCUACACAAAGCCUGAGUACCAGGUUUUGGUGUAUUAGCUGCUGCUGGAUGAGUUGGCGCUGCUUUUGUGCCUGGAGGACAAUGUGGGCAAGCUUCUCCUGUGUCUGCUGCCGUGUCUGGGCUCUGGUCUUGAUCUCUUGGCUGGAUCACUAAUGUAGCCUUCUCAACAGAUCCUUUGUUUCUAGUCCCAUCUUUUCCUGACCUUCUCUACUUGGCUCCACAGUGGUCUUUCUAAACUAUAGAUCUGGCCAGGCCACUUCCUACUAAAGCCCUGGCUGUUGCCUCCACAGUGUCCACAGUGAUUCUUUCUCAAGCUUCAGUCACUCACACAUUCCUUCACCAAGAUUCCCAUGUCUGCAUACCAUCUGUCCUACUGUUUACUUAAUAGUUGUCUUCAGAAAACUUUUGUCAGUUAUGUUUUUACUUAGCCUUUUCCUGAGCAGUGAUAUCUGUGAAAUCAGAAAUUUAAUGUGCCAGCUGUAUUUACUACUAGUAUUCUUUAAGUAAAACUGUAGCUAUUAAAAUGUGUUCCUCUGUGUACCAUCUGAAGUCACUGGAGCUGCUCCUAAUACACUUUGGAGAACAGUAGCCUCAGGGUAAAAUCCAAGCAGUUUAUCUUGUGCUCAGCACUUUCUGUGACCCACCCAGUUACCCAGCCCCUCUGGCUUUUUCAUUCUCCUUUCCGGCCAUUCCAUUGAGCAAAGACUCCCUCUUGCUCUUUCAUUCCACCCCUCAGGAAUUCCUGUUCUGCACCUCCCUGCUCAGAUGCCAACUGUCUUCUGUCCCUGUGUUGUUGGAACUGUUUGGAUUUUUUGUUUGCUCCUUUAACCUGAGUCCUCUAGGGCAGAGCCUGGGUCUCCUCCAUCUCCAUGGCCCUGUCCUCAUUACAAAAUCCUCAAUUAGAAGUCAUCCGCGACCUGACUACAUUGCCCUUCUUUCUACUGUGUCCACUUUGCCCUCCUUCUAGCAUCACCCUGCUCUUAAAUGCCAUGUCCUUUUGCACAUGUUCCCUGCAGUAGAAUGCCAUUUCCCCUCCCUCAGCAGUCAGAGUAAUGAUGGCCCCUGGCCUCUGAUCCCAGCCUGAGAGGAUUCUUCUCUAGGCUUACCCUUGUCAUCACUCUUUUUUAAAAAAUAAGAAUAAUAAAGGAAAGAGGCAGCAGCAUAAGAAUGGAUGUUAGAGCAAAGGUACAAGAGCCUCUUGCUGGAGGAAAGAGCACAUUUUGGAGAUUGGCACAAAACAAAGCUCUCAGGCACCCCCAAGGAGUUUGAAUUUGUCCUUAAACCUACAGGGAGACUUUGGAAGGAUUUUAUACAGCUGGGUGAAAGUGAUCAGAUUUGCAUUUUGUAAGAUCACUUCUGCCUUCCUGUCGUUUCUUCCUGGCUUCCUUCCAGGACUACUUCUCUUGCUUCCCCCUUAAAUAUUUGGCUCUGUAGGAUCUAGCACUUGACCUCAUUCCCUGCUCACAUAUGUUACCAAGCCCACUGCUACCUGCUACUGGCCAGUGUGGACGUAAUUACUGGUAAUUGUAUUGCCUUGACCAGAGGUAUCCUUAGGCAGCCAAGGCCAGGGAAGUUCAGUGACUCAUCAGAAACCACAGGUAAGUUCCUGAGUGGGUUUCAAAAAAAACCGUCAACAGGCUUUUAGAAGUCAAGACAAACGAUGACUGUUGAAAUUGACAGUAGAUCACUUUUGAAAAAAUCAGCUUCACUGAAGCAGGGAGGGAGUCAACAAGGUUAAAAACUCUGCCUCCAUCCGGAGAGUAUCUGAGGCAGGUUUAACAAAGGGCGUAUGCUAAAAGGUUAAUAAAAUCAGAAUAGAAGAAUUCCAGAAUGAAAAGAAGUUGGAAGAUAUGCUAACCCAAAUGCUAACAAUAUGCUCUGAAGGGAAGAUUGCAUACAGGAAGGGAGUUUUAGGGAGAAACAAAAUCCAGAGGCUUUUAUAUUGAUGGAUGGGGAAAUGCAAGUAGGUUUGUGGAUUAAGAUGAAGGAAAUGAAGGCAUGGAGAGGUAGGGUGGAAGUAAUGGAGGAAGUUCACCAAGCAUCAGGACUGUCGAAAGUACAGAUGAGAGGGUUAAAAUGGGUAAAAGAGAAGUUCCUUCUUCUGAAGAGAAAGAUGCUAAGAGGGAAGGUGGAGGGGAGUGCAUUAUUGGGAUGGUAUAAUGGAGAGUCCUCUGUUCAGAGAGGAAGGCAGGUAGGAGAGCAAGGUAGAGGGCUUGCAAAAGCAGAGGUCUGGCAUAGCUACUGCUUAGAGAGUAAAGGAAAUGAGUUAGGGGUCAGUAGGGAGCCCCAUGAGGGAGGGAGGGUUUUCUUAGCCAAGGUUAGGUGCCUUUGAUUUGUAGUGAAUCCAUUAAGCACAAAUAAGAAAACCCAGCAACAUCCGUCGUCCCAAGAGAGGAGUCAGCAAGGUGAUUGUUUCUGUGAGAAGGUGUUUGGAAGGGCAGGUGCAGUAGGAGGAUCAAAGCUGAACUUCUAGGGCAUGCCAGUGAGGAUGAAAUGGAAAGAUUGGCCUGAAGUAUGUGAAUCCAGGAGGGGCUGAUGGGGAGAGAGGAAAAGUGGGGGUCAAGGUGAAAGCAGAGCUGGAACGGAAAGGAGGAGGAGUGGGUGAAGGGGAGGUCUGCAAAGGGACAAGGAGGGAAUUUCCAGAACUUUGAGGCCUGUCUUCAGAGGUCAGGGUUGACUUCUGAGAACUAAUGACCAGGAAAACCCAGUUAGCCAAAAAGAACCAUUCCAAGAAUUAGGUUAAAUAAACUUACAGUCACUCUAAUAUAGAAGGAAAAAAGAUGAGGUCAUAUCCUCUUCCUUGCCCCCCCCCUCC